GGUUUUAUAGUCAAAAAAUGAUAUUAAAUUGCAAAUUUAAAGUUAAAUUAAUUUUUAAAGCCU
rnacentral:tRNA from 1 species